GAUCCAGAUAUAACAUUUGAUGGUGAGGAAGAGAGUUUGCUGACUGUUACCAUGCAGAGCACUGAUAAUAUUCCACAACCACAACAAACUGAAGAAGAUGAUGAGACAUUCACUGUUGCAACUCCUGCAGCUAAAAAAAUAAGAGACAAAGAAAGUGGGAAAUUUGUCACAAAGAAAACAGGGACACCCACAGACAUGCACAGAAG